CGAACGCUGGCGGCGUGCUUAACACAUGCAAGUCGAACGGUGAAGGGGCCUGCUUUUGUGGGUCCUGGAUGAGUGGCGAACGGGUGAGUAACACGUGAGUAACCUGCCCCCUUCUUCUGGAUAACCGCAUGAAAGUGUGGCUAAUACGGGAUAUUCUGGGUCUGUCGCAUGGUGGGCCUGGGAAAGAUUGCGCCUUUUUUGGUGUUUUUGGUGGGGGAUGGGCUCGCGGCCUAUCAGCUUGUUGGUGGGGUGAUGGCCUACCAAGGCGGUGACGGGUAGCCGGCCUGAGAGGGUGGACGGUCACACUGGGACUGAGACACGGCCCAGACUCCUACGGGAGGCAGCAGUGGGGAAUAUUGCACAAUGGGCGCAAGCCUGAUGCAGCGACGCCGCGUGAGGGAUGGAGGCCUUCGGGUUGUGAACCUCUUUCGCCAGUGAAGCAGGCCUGCCUCGUUUGUGGGUGGGUUGACGGUAGCUGGAUAAGAAGCGCCGGCUAACUACGUGCCAGCAGCC
rnacentral:rRNA from 1 species